rnacentral:rRNA from 1 species
CUGCAUGAAGUUGGAAUUGCUAGUAAUCGCGGAUCAGCAUGCCGCGGUGAAUACGUUCCCGGGCCUUGUACACACCGCCCGUCACACCAUGAGAGUCGGGAACACCCGAAGUCCGUAGUCUAACCCGCAAGGGAGGGCGCGGCCGAAGGUGGGUUCGAUAAUUGGGGUGAAGUCGUAACAAGGUAUC